UGGUAUCUUAGAAGCAGAUAUGAGGGUUGAGUCACUUCCUUCUUUUAUGCCAAAAUCUUUCCAGGGCAUUCCACUUAGCCCAACUCAGGUAACUGGGAAGAGAUGGGUAACUUUCUAGGCACCCUGGUGUUCUUUGGGCAUUAACUCUUCAACUAAAAACAAGAGUUCUGCUUUUAAGCUAUACCUGCCAUAUUUUAGAAACUAGGAGAUUCUGUUUUAUACUUUCAUUAAAGCUGAAGGUCCUGGUCCUUGGAGUGGUACUGGAUACCUAGAGUUUUUUUCGGGACUGACCCCAACCCCAUGCAGGUAAACUCACCAAAUUUAAACAGAGGUUGGCCCUACACACUAUAUUCAAAGUAGCUUGCUGAGUUGGUAAACUAAAAAUAAACUUAAAAGAUUCAACUGCUUCCCUCUACACAACAGACUAUGAGUCAGCAUGUAAAAGAAGAGAAACUUCUGAGUCCACUACACUGGUGGAUCUUGAAGACAUUAUGCUAAGCAAAAGAAGUAGAGAGCUACUAAAAAGUUAAGAAGCAGAAUAAUCACAGGCCCAGAAUGUUCAGGAGAGAAGCGACCACCUGCACGUCCAGAUGGCGACGGCUCCCCCCCCUCCGCCCUCCGCAGUCCAGCACAACCGGAUAUGAGAAGUGCCUGUGCGAGGAACCCAUUAGGGAGGGAGAGAGGAGGAGAGUGACUGGACAGAGACUUAGACCAGCAUCUUCAGCAGAGCAGAGCAGGAGCCAUGACAGGCAGCCUUAGGGUCAAGAGGAAAGACUGAAGAUGACCACAGAACCCACACCAUAGUGCUAUGGUGAAGAUUACGUCAAAAAGGCCAAAGAGAACUGAAUGCAGUCAGUACCUGGUGUGUGGCGAAUAUUUAACUAACGCCUGCCUGCUACGAGCCUACCACACUGGAGGUAAGCCCUGAAGAAGCCCUGUGUGAAGGCUAAAGGUAUCUGUCUGCAGGGUCAGGCUCUGCGACCUCAGCACAUAAACAAACACCAGUCUAGAUAUUCCUAGGGGAAUAUUUUUGUUUGGGGAUUGUUUUUGUUUUGUUUUUUCCCCUUAGAUGUGUUUAACAUUUAAAUUGGUAGACUUUGAAUAAAGUAGAUAAGUUUCCAUAACAUAGGUGGGUUUCAU